rnacentral:rRNA from 1 species
GGGGGGGGGAACGGGACGGACUAUCCGGAUGACCAAUAGAAUCACCUGAUUCUAUUGUAAAAGUUGGGAGUAAUCCUAACACUGUGAGAUGGGCCCGCGGUGCAUUAGCUAGUUGGUAGGGUAAUGGCCUACCAAGGCGACGAUGCGUAGCCGACCUGAGAGGGUGAUCGGCCACACUGGAACUGAGACACGGCCCAGACUCCUACGGGAGGCAGCAGUAGGGAAUCAUCCGCAAUGGGCGAAAGCCUGACGGUGCAACGCCGCGUGAACGAUGAAGGUCUUCGGAUUGUAAAGUUCUGUUGUUAGGGAAGAACAAGUGCCAUUCGAAUAGGUUGGCACCUUGACGGUACCUAACCAGAAAGCCCCGGCUAACUACGUGCCAGCAGCCGCGGUAAUACGUAGGGGGCAAGCGUUGUCCGGAAUUAUUGGGCGUAAAGCGCGCGCAGGCGGUCUCUUAAGUCUGAUGUGAAAUCUCGCGGCUCAACCGCGAGCGGUCAUUGGAAACUGGGGGACUUGAGUGUAGGAGAGGAAAGUGGAAUUCCACGUGUAGCGGUGAAAUGCGUAGAUAUGUGGAGGAACACCAGUGGCGAAGGCGACUUUCUGGCCUACAACUGACGCUGAGGCGCGAAAGCGUGGGGAGCAAACAGGAUUAGAUACCCUGGUAGUCCACGCUGUAAACGAUGAGUGCUAGGUGUUAGGGGUUUCGAUGCCCUUAGUGCCGAAGUUAACACAUUAAGCACUCCGCCUGGGGAGUACGGCCGCAAGGCUUGAAACUCAAAGGAAUUGACGGGGGCCCGCACAAGCAGUGGAGCAUGUGGUUUAAUUCGACGCAACGCGAAGAACCUUACCAGGUCUUGACAUCCUCUGAACAGCUAGGAGACUAGCCUUUCCCCUUCGGGGGACAGAGUGACAGGUGGUGCAUGGUUGUCGUCAGCUCGUGUCGUGAGAUGUUGGGUUAAGUCCCGCAACGAGCGCAACCCUUGAUCUUAGUUGCCAGCAUUAAGUUGGGCACUCUAAGGUGACUGCCGGUGAUAAACCGGAGGAAGGUGGGGAUGACGUCAAAUCAUCAUGCCCCUUAUGACCUGGGCUACACACGUGCUACAAUGGAUGACAAGGG